rnacentral:tRNA from 2 species
GGGGGCAUAGCUCAGUUGGUAGAGCGGCUGGUUCGCAAUCAGCAGGUCAGGGGUUCGAAUCCCCUUGCCUCCA